UACAGAGGCGGCAAGCGUUGUUCGGAAUUACUGGGCGUAAAGGGCUCGUAGGUGGCCAACUAAGUCAGACGUGAAAUCCCCAGGCUCAACUUGGGAACUGCGUCUGAUACUGGAUGGCUUGAAUUCGGGGAGAGGGAUGCAGAAUUCCAGGUGUAGCGGUGAAAUGCGUAGAUAUCAGGAGGAACACCGGUGGCGAAGGCGGGUCUCUGGGCCGAUACUGACGCUGAGGAGCGAAAGCGUGGGGAGCGAACAGG
rnacentral:rRNA from 1 species